UACAGAGGUCCCAAGCGUUGUUCGGAUUCACUGGGCGUAAAGGGUGCGUAGGCGGUCGGGUAAGUCUGAUGUGAAAUCUCGCAGCUUAACUGCGAAACUGCAUUGGAUACUAUCCGGCUCGAGGAAUGGAGGGGAGACUGGAAUACUUGGUGUAGCAGUGAAAUGCGUAGAUAUCAAGUGGAACACCAGAGGCGAAGGCGAGUCUCUGGACAUUUCCUGACGCUGAGGCACGAAAGCCAGGGGAGCAAACGGG
rnacentral:rRNA from 1 species